rnacentral:rRNA from 1 species
GCUACUGCCAUCAGAGUUCGAUUAAGCCAUGUUAGUCGAGGGUACCUCUUCUUCUUCGGAGGAUGAGGUAACCCGGCGGACGGCUCAGUAACACGUGGAUAACUUGCCCUUGGGUCUGGGAUAACCCCUGGGAAACUGGGGCUAAUACCGGAUAGAGCAUCGAUCGCUGGAAUGCAUGAUGCUCGAAAACUACGGUGCCCAAGGAUAGGUCUGCGGCUGAUUAGGUUGUUGUUGAUGUAAUGGACCAACAAGCCUACGAUCGGUACGGGUUGUGAGAGCAAUAGCCCGGAGAUGGGUUCUGAGAAAAGAACCCAGGUCCUACGGGACGCAUCAGGCGCGAAAACUUUACAAUGUGCGAAAGCACGAUAAGGGAACUCUGAGUGCCCCCUAAGGGGGCUGUUCUAGUGUCUAAAAAGCAAUAGAAGUAAGGGCUGGGCAAGACCGGUGCCAGCCGCCGCGGUAACACCGGCAGCCCAAGUGGUAGCCACGUUUAUUGGGUCUAAAGCGUUCGUAGCCGGCUUGGUAAGUUCCUUGGUAAAUUUAGCCGCUUAACGGUUAAGCUUUCAGGGAAUACUGCUUGGCUUGGGACUGGGAGAGGUCAGAGGUACUCCAGGGGUAGGGGUGAAAUCCAUUAAUCCUUGGGGGACCACCGGUAGCGAAGGCGUCUGACCAGACCAGCUCCGACGGUGAGGGACGAAGGCUAGGGGCGCGAACCGGAUUAGAUACCCGGGUAGUCCUAGCUGUAAACGAUGCGGGCUAGGUGUUGGCAUUACUGCGAGUGGUGCCAGUGCCGAAGGGAAGCCGUUAAGCUCGCCAUCUGGGGAGUACGGUCGCAAGGCUUAACUUAAAGGAAUUGG